CACCAGCGCCACAAGUGGCAAUCGCGUUUAUUGGGCCUAAAGCGUUCGUAGCCGGUUUGGCAAAUCUUUUGUGAAAGCGUCAGGCUUAACUUGACGAGUGGCAGAAGACACUACCAAACUAGGGACCGGGAGGAGUCAGAAGUAUUCAAGGGGGACCGGUAAAAUGGUAUAAUCCCUUGAGGACUACCGAUGGCGAAGGCAUCUGACUAGAACGGAUCCGACGGUGAGGAACGAAAGCUAGGGGAGCAAACCGGAUUAGAUACCCGAGUAGUCCUAACCGUAAACGCUGUGAGUUAGGUGUUGCACAAACUACGGGUUUGUGCAGUGUCGAAAAGAAGUUGUUAAACUCACCGCCUGGGAAGUACGGUCGCAAGGCUGAAACUUUAAGGAAUUGACGGGGGAGCACCACAAGGGGUGCAGCGUGCGGUUUAAUCUAACUCAACGCAGAGAACCUCACUAGGGGCGACGGCAGGAUGAAGGUCAGUCUGAAGGGCUUACCUGACGAGCCGAGAGGUAGUGCAUGGCCGUCGUCAGCUCGUGCUGUAAAGUGUCCUCUUAAGUGAGGCAACGAGCGAGACCUGUAUCUACAAUUGCUAACAACUGCUUGCAGGAUUGAGCACAUUGUAGAGACUGCCCUGGAAACAGGGAGGAAGGUGCAGGCUACGGUAGGUCUGUAUGCUCCGAAUCUCCUAGGCUACACGCGCGCAACAAUGGUAGGGACAAUGGGAUGCAACUCCGAAAGGAGAAGCUAAACCUCUAAACCCUAUCUCAGUCCAGAUUGAGGAUUGCAACUCAUCCUCAUGACGACGGAAUCCCUAGUAAUCAGAAGUCAUCAUCUUCUGGUGAAUAUGUCCCUGCUCCU
rnacentral:rRNA from 1 species